rnacentral:lncRNA from 1 species
CCAGCAGUCAUCCUUCUACCCAGUACAGGGGAAAUUUCUUUUUCCUGUACUAGGCUUAGGGAAUAGCACUUUGGGGGGCUAACCCCUGGUGCUGCCCUAACCUCUUCCUCACAAAACCUUUCAUACAGCUGUGAGAGGCAAACUUCUCAGUUGUCAGCAUUUCCAGGAAGAAAGAACCCCUUGAGUGAUCUCCAUGUGACCUCGUCUGUCUCAGGUUCAUGAACAUGAAGGUGAGAGCAGCUCUUCCUCACAGCAUGACCAGGCAGUGACAAACACGCCACAUGGAAGGAAAUGAGUGAACAAUCCUCGCAUAUUCUGAAAUGAGGAGAUUGAGGUGCAAAGAGAGGCUAAGUUGCCCAAGGUUGCAUGUCUAAAAAGUAUCAGAGGAUGAGAAUACAGAUCUGACCAGGAUUCUAAAGCCCACGUCAUUCCCUCCACACCUGGUAGCUUCAGCCUUGCCCAGCUCCUGGUGGAACUUCCGCUCCGGGAUCCUGAAAUGCCCUGCAUGAAUCAUCAAGGGACAAAAAGAGGAGACUUUCCAGGGACUGACGCCCUCCCAGCCACCGUGGGAUCCCGGCUACUGUGACUGAGCCCAGUCAUGACUCCAGAGUGCUUCACAUCACAUCAUUCUUUCUCAGCAUCCAAAAUCCUCUCACAGUGAAGCAGCAGGACCACCCAGGUACAGCGCACCUCGAGCUCUGCCCCUCAAAGGGAGUGGCCUCUCCUGGCUAUUGGCAAAGCUACCAGAAACUUGGCUUCAGACCAUUCACAUCUAAACAGGUGGUCCAGAUAUUCUGGCAGGGAUGUGCAU